rnacentral:lncRNA from 1 species
GGAUAAUUAAGCUACAGUGAUCCCACGCUAAUGAUGCCAUGUCACCUCAAUUACUGUUGCUAAUUGCGCGUUAGUUCAAAGCCGAUACAAAUUCCAAUUUUAAAAAAUGGCAACCAACAAGAGUUUUCAAAUAUUAAAACUAAAAUGUCCGGGUUGUGCCAAAUAUUGAAUAGGUAAUUAUGGUGGAAGAACCAAACUUUUAUAAAAUGUUUAAAUGUUCUAAAAUGCAUAAAACGUGGCAAGAACAAAUAUUUAAUUGCUUUUAAAAUAAUAAUCAAUUACAAAAUAAUUAGUUUUAGGUGCAAAGUUAAUUGAAGAAGUAGCAUAUUUAUUAAUACUAAUUUAGGUACAACUAAUGUAUUUUAUAAAAAUAAUGUAUUUAAAAUAUAAAAUUAAAACAGAAAAGAACAGAGAAUAAACAAAAUAUAAAAGGAAAGCAAACAAAAAUAAAAGAGAAAACCCCCCUCCCCCGCUGGACCCUGGCCCAGUUGGCCUCUAGGCCAACCAGGAGGCCCACCCCACUCCUCCUUAUCCCCCACUCCACCCGAAACCCUAACCGCACUACCCCACUACGCCCACCCCACUUGUCCCACUCCCCCUCCGCCCCCUCCACGAUCCAAAUCGGGAUCAGGGGCGCUCGACGCCGUCGCCGUCUCCCCGCGACGCCGCUCAGACCCGUCUACGCCGGACCGAUUCGUCCUCGACUCCUCCUUGCCGUGCUCUGCACCACCUUGCCACCCGGACCGCCCCUGCCGUCGUGGACCACGUCGGCCCGCCUCCCGUCUCCUCCCGCACGGCGCCUGCCCCCUGGACACAUACUGGAUCGGCGGCUCGACCCCGCGGCGCCCCAAGCCCCGACGUCGCGCCGUCGCCGCUCCCCGUCGUCUCCGUUCUCCUCCUCGCCCCCACUGCCCGUGCCCUACAACCACGGUGAGGCCCGGGGCCUCCCCCUCUCAUCCUCUCCAAAUUGUGUCGUCCGCCGCCCGCAUUCGCCGUGCACGCGCACCCUCGCGCGACCACGGCCGCACCCACAUCGCAGAGGCCGUGUGGUGGAGCCCGCGCUCCGGUCCGCAUUUGACACCACGCGCCCUGCCCUCUCCUUCCCUCGCGUCCGCUCGCGCCCGCAACCGCGCACCCUUGCUAGCUGCGGCCCGCGCGCACUGCCCCCUGGCCAGCACCGGCCUUCGCCAAGCCGCUCGCCCGCGGUGAAUGCAUUCCCCGCCGGCGCGCCCUCCACGGCUAGGGCCCUGGCGUCCCCCACCGGCGACCGCCCGCCUCGCCACGGCCUCGCCCUCCUCUGCACGCUCCAUCGCCCCUGCUCCCACUCCGCCACGUGCCGCCCUGCACACACCGCCGCCCCGCUCCGGCUUCCCUCGCCGCGCUCCGCCUCCCCACGCUGGCCGCUCGCUGCGGCCCGCAUCGCCGCACCGGCCACGGCCGCCGCCGCUAUGCUCACUAGCGCGCACGGCGCUCGCGCCCAUCGGGUGCCCAUGGCCUCGCCCGUUAGCCCACGCACCGCACCCGCUAUCGCCCCCUGUGCCAAUGACGAGGGGGCCCCGCCCCAGAACAUUUAUAAAAAAAGAGAAAGAAAGAUUAAAGAAAAUAAUAAAAAAUAAAAAAUAUUAAUUAAUUAAUUAGUUAAUUAAAUUAAUUAACUUAACUAAUCCUGAUUAGAUUAACGUAAUUACUAAUUAAUAUGUUUUAGUUAGUCUCAGUCAAUGACAAACGGACCCACUAGUCAGGUUGACCAAUCAACCCCUGUUGACUGUUGGCGUCAGCAUGACAUCAUGCUGAUGUCAUAAUUAAUUAAAUUCCAAAAAUUAAUAAAUUCUUUUGAAAAUCGUAUCUUUUAAUCUGUAACUCGGAUGGAAAAACUUUGUACAUGAAAGUCGCUCAGAAUGACGAGACGAAUCCGAAUAAGCAACCCAUCCGUCCGCCACGCAUCCCUAGCAUAGAAAACAUGCAACUUUCCCCCUCCAAUUCAUCUAUUCAAAAAUACGAAACCCCGGGGAUAUUUUCCCGGAUGUUUCCCCCCUUCGCUAGUACCACCUCAUACCGCGUUAGGGCACCCCUAGCACCAUGUAUUGUCAUGUUAUGCCUUGUGGUGCUUUGAUUGCACUCUUAUUUAUUGUGUUCCCCUCUGUUACUUCUUUCUGGUAGACCCUGAGACCGCUGCCGAUAACCCUGUUGUCGACUACGGUGUUGACGACCCUUCUUGCCAGAGCAACCAGGCAAGCCCCCCCUUGAUCACCAGAUAUCGCCUACUCUUCUCUAUACUGCUUACAUUAGAGUAGUGUAGCAUGUUACUGCUUUCCAUUAAUCCUAUCAUGAUGCAUAGCCUGUCAUUGUUACUACACUUGUUGAUACCUUACCUGCAAUCCUACAUGCCUAGUAUAGGUUGCUAGUACUUCAUCAGUGGCCCUACAUUCUUGUCCGUCUGCCAUGCUAUACUAUCGGGCCGUGAUCACUCGGGAGGUGAUCACGGAUAUAUACAUACAUAUAUACAUACUAUACAGGUGGUGACUAAAGUCGGGUCGGCUCGUUGAGUACCCUCAAGUGAUACUGAUGUGGGGGCUGAAGGGGAAGGUGGCUCCAUCUAGGUAGUUGUGGGCCUGAGUUCCCGACGGCCCCCAACUGUUACUUUGUGGCGGAGCGACAGGGCAGGUUGAGACCACCUAGGAGAGAGGUGGGCCUGGCCCUGGUCGACGUUCGCGGUUACUUCAAGAUAACACGCUUAACGAGAUCUGGGUAUUUGAUCUGAGUCUGGCUACUGGCCUAUACGCACUAACCAACUACGCGGGAACAAUUAUGGGCACUCUACAUCGUGGUAUCAGCCAAAGCCUUCGUGACGUCUGCGACUGAGCGGUGCACGCUGGGUUGGACCGCGUAACGCAACUUCCUUUGUAAUGGAGGUUGCUAGGUCUGCUCACCGGCCGCGUUCGCAACGUGCAGGUGUGCAAUGGGCGAUGGGCCUAGACCCCUGCGGCAUAGGCUUUAGACCGACGUGCUGACCUCUCUGUUGUGCCUAGGUAGGGUUGCGAUGUGUUGAUCUUUUGAGGCCGGGCAUGACCCAGGAAAGUGUGUCCGAACAAAGGGGAUCAGGCAUGUUGGGAAAUGUGGUGCACCCCUGCAGGGAAGUUAAUCUAUUCGAAUAGCCGUGAUCUUCGGUAACAGGACGACUUGGAGUUGUACCUUGACCUUAUGACAACUAGAACCGAAUACUUAAUAAAACACACCAUUCCAAGUGCCAGAUACAACCGGUGAUCGCUCUCUCACAGGGCGACGAGGGGAGGAUCAUCGGUUAGGAUUAUGCUACACGGUGCUACUUGGUGAACUUACCUUCUACUCUCUUCUACAUGCUGCAAGAUGGAGGUGGCCAGAAGUGUAGACUUCGAUAGGACUAGCUAUCCCCCCUUAUUCCGGCAUUCUGCAGUUCAGUCCACAUAUGAUACCCUUAUUCCAUUUGAUACCGAUGCAUACAUAUGUAGUGUAGCUCCUUGCUUGCGAGUACUUUGGAUGAGUACUCACGGUUGCUUUGCUUCCCCUUUUCCUCCUUUCUAUACCUGAUUGCUGCGACCAGACGAUGGAGCCCAGGAGCCAGACUCCACCGUCGACGACGACUCCAACUACACUGGAGGUGCCUACUACUACGUGCAGCCCGCUGAUGACGACCAGGAGUAGUUUAGGAGGAUCCCAGGCAGGAGGCCUGCGCCUCUUUCGAUCUGUAUCCCAGUUUGUGCUAGCCUUCUUAAGGCAAACUUGUUUAACUUAUGUAUGUACUCAGAUAUUGUUGCUACCGCUGACUCGUCUAUGAUUGAGCUGUUGUAUUCGAGCCUUCGAGGCCCCUGGCUUGUAAUAUGAUGCUUGUAUGACUUAUGUUAUUUGUAGAGUUGUGUUGUGAUAUCUUCCCGUGAGUCCCUGCUCUUGAUCAAACACGUUUGCGUGUAUGAUUAAUGUAUGAUUGAAUUGGGGGCGUCACAAGUUGGUAUCAGAGCCGACUGCCUGUAGGAAUCCCCCUUCCACACUCCAUGGCCGAAGUCGAGUCUAGACAUUGCAAAACUUUUUACUAACAUGGCUGUGUGUCUUACGGGCCCACGUCGCCAUUGGGUGGUAGUAGGAUAUUUUACUCCUCGAUCUUUACUCUGGGACUCUGAACUCUCUUCUAUUCGGGUUAAAUGAUUUUGCUAAAGUCUAACUUUAGGUUCUCGGAGAUACUUCCUCCCAGAGAGCCCCUUCAUUCCAGAUGAUGGCCUGCUUCACCACAAGAUUUCGAAGAUACUCUCCGUUAUUCUUUCGAGACCUUGUGCCCACCACUUUUGCUAUUCUCGACCACUGAUAAAUGCUUAUGGAUAACUGCUUACACUUGUCGUUCUUACCAUUGUUCCUAGAUGCCCCUGUUAUUACUUGAUACCCUGAAAAUUUCUUCGAUAAGUCAAGAACCCUUUGUGCCCACCGCUUUGCAGCUCUUUGCCGCAGAGAUACCCUUGUGGAUAAUUUCUCGCACUUAUCGAGUAUCCGCUCAUCCCCAGUUGAUUCAUGUGUUUCACAAUGGUCUUUGAAAUACUAUUCGAUCCUCCAAAAUUCCUCAGUAGCUUAUUGCUCUGCAAUACUUGUCUGCUUGCAUUAUGGAUGCUUUCCAUAUGUCUGGCAAUAUUCGUUAGUAUCCUUAGACACCGUCAUUUUGAUCCUAUUGAUUCAACAUGAGUGCAAAUGCAUGCAAUCAUCAGUUGAUCCUUUUAAAUUAUCUUUCUGGCUCAGACGUCAUUUUAAACUUGAGAUGGUUCUCGACCAGUUGGAUUGCCAUUGAUUGUACCCCUAAGGCUAUUCAACUUAUCCAUCCCUAAUCAGAGCAUUGCUUCUGAUCCCUUGUCUUGGAAUUCAUAAUUCCUUUGCAUUUGAGCUUUGAGUUAGUCAGUUGUUUCUAUAAUCCGAUGCGUAUGCAUUCCUUCUUCCUUUGAUAGAGUACCGAUACUCACAUCAGCUCCGUUGUAUACCACCGGACCUCUUGUUGGAUUAAUAUCCGACAGUGUCCUUCAUAUUCAAGUAACCUUGUGAGCCUUUCCAUGGAUAUAUAUAAAGCCUUUGGUAAAUUGUAUCCUCUGCUUUCACAACCAUGCUCUGUUUUCGAGCUGUUGGUAUUUACUAUUGAAGCUUGUGGUAUAUGUUUCCACGAUACCCUGACGGGUUGAACCUAUGCCUUCCUUAUUAAGUGUGAACUCGAAAGUUUUCACGAGUCAUACUCUUCUGGUAUUUUGCUAGAUUAAAUGUCUACACUACAGCUUCAUCAAAAGCGAGAAGUAAAAUGAAAAGUUAUGCAUGGGAGAAGUGGGAGUCGACCUUGAGCCCUUGCGUUCAUGCCCAUGGACCUGAUGUGAAACUUAUCAUCGAAGCUUCUUGUGAAUGAUAAUUAUCCCCUUGUUAUAAGUUCAUCUUGUAUCUGUGGACGUGGUUCUGACCAUGUUUCUCCUUGAUUCCAUUUCUCGUGCAAGUUUGAGCACUUGUCUUCUGCAGAGCAUUACACUAGUCCAACCUCUACUUUCAUCUAUUGUCGAGUAUUACCCCCCUGGUAUCUCGAGAUUAUCAUGGAACUGCAUAACCUCUUAUGAGUUCUUCAUCAGGUGCUACCUUCUCACCAAUUCCAAAUUUUCAUGGGCUCUGAGUUACUAAACACUCAAAGACACCGAUAACUGACUCAAGUCCGCAGCGCGAUUAAACAACUCUUGGUAACCUUCAUUACUUACGAGUUUGAACUCGAUCACGUCAUUCCUAGCCUGCUUGGCUAUAUCCUUGUCGUGCUGAUUUUAACUGUGCUACCUGGUCCUUCUUCCUGGAGCACAAUUUUUGAUGAUGAGCUAAGCUUACGUCGAUUUUCCUCAUCAUAUCAUUUCGCCUUGGACAACAAUCUUGAUUUCGAGUUUGUGUCAUACCAUUGGUUCCAUUAACUUUUCACUUCAUCAUUCCUUUAACUUGAUGUCAUCGCCGAUCUAUUAAAUCUUCGUGGAGCCUCUCAACAAAAUUUGUCAUGAUCAUCAUCAACAUCUUGACUCCUUCCUAGAUAUCAGUCGAUUUCCCGAUGAGAAAUACCAUCCUUACCCCUUGAUGAUUUGUAUUACCAUCGACAACACCCUUACCGUUCUUUCAUCACAAACUCGUUUUGUUAUGGAUGCAACCUGUUAUCCAUCUUGCAUUAUAUUCUACCUUGAAGUAUUACUGUCUUUUAUGUCAAGGAUGUUGUGAGACUUGCUCCACCUCAUAACAAUUCUUGAUACGGUGAUACUUAUCGUCGUAUCCCUUUGUUUCUUAGUCCGCGUGUUGAUUCUAGUCGGGAUGCAGUGAACAAUGCUGCUUGGAUUCUAAACUUCUAGCAACCCUAUUGCUUUGAAGUUGAUGGUCGAUAGUUCAUUCUUAGACUAUUGGUUGUUGAAUCAUCAUUCUAUCAUUGAUCAUGCUACCUAAGCCCAUAUCUCGGGUGCGCUUUUCAACCAAUGUUUAAUUGUGUAUGUUUUUUCUCUAGCAUACAUCAUUAUAUCAUUUGAUAUGACAAAUGUUAUCUCCUUGUUCACAUAAGUGUGGAAAUCCAUCUUUUGAAAAUCUCAAUGAAUUGUCGCUGAAUUAAUCGACCACCUCCUCUCCUCUCCUUGAUUUAAUGAUGAACUCUUGUUUCGGGACUUGCCUCCAUAGUUCAUUUCGCGAAAAUCAUAAAAUGCCAUCUCGUCAAUUUGUGUCGCACCUUUUCCUUCUCAGGCAUCCUGGGUCUGAGGUAUCCUGACACCAAUCAGAUCUAAAUCUCGGUCAGAUAUGAUGGUUGGAACAUAUUUCCAAGAGUUAUAAAUGUUGGUCUUGAUAUGGCCCGGUAAGGUAAUGUCAUGCCUAGCACACCUGGCCGAAUGAACUAGUUUCCUUUUUAGCAAGGUUAGCGAUUCUUCCAUGAGGAAAUCGUAAGACUUAUUCUAUAAGUUGUCCCUUAUGGAUCCUUUGUGUGUCAAAAAUCUGACCCUUACUUGAUGACCAUGUCAAUGCUAUCUCGAAGCAUGUCUGUGGUACUCCGAUUUUCAACAAAAACAUUUGAAGCCCAAUGCUAAAUGUUUCUUGCUCAAUUACCCCAAACACCGUUGUAUGGGUAAUGUCAUGAUAUUUCUCUCCCCUUUCCUAAAGGGUUUUCUACGUUAUAUCCUAUCCUGGAUAUCAUGCUCUGCUUGUCCUUGGGAAGGAUAUACCCCUGAAAUAUGUGUUUAAACACAUUUUUUCCUUUCGAUUGUUCUAUUUAAUCUGAUAAUCCUAUUUUCCUUUCCAUUGUUUGGUUUAAACUUUCUUGUGAUCUAUAUGAUCUAAGUAGUAAUACUCUCCUGCUUAUGUAAACACCUUGGUGUACAAUCCUGUCAGCAAGACCCUGUUACUAUUGUUGAUGACAUUCCGGUAGCCACCGAUGGACGAGAACUUUGCAUAUUGGUCCGCCUCGUUCAACGAGCAGGAAAAUGGUUCUCUUCGUCCCUCGCCCUUGGUACCGACGUUGUUGCCGACAUAACUGACAGGCUAUCCUCUGACACGCCUUGCUAUCAUGACCAUGCAAGAUGUCACCGCUCCUCCUACUUUUAACCCACAUGGUGGGCCCAUAACCCACAGGUCCUAGGAUCAAAACUUGACUCUCCUAUACAACCCCUAUUUCCAAAGUUAUUCCUCACGCUUGGCUACGUAUGUAAUUCACUAGCGACCUUCCGUGUGAUCAUCAAUUCUGGUAUUAAAUACAAUAAUUAUUCCCGUUGCUCUAAAACCCUUUCACACCUUGUUAUAGGCAACGAACGAUUGCCUAUUCACUUGAAUUUUUUAAUUGCGCCUUUUUACCUUACUCUCGAUAACUUUCUUGAAUUUCAACGCGAGAGAUAUUCACUAAGAUAGCCCCCAAGCACCUAACGUGUGUUGAGAUCCUUCCUUCCCGAGUCUUUCCCCCUUAUCUUUUCAUAAGUUCGAUGGAGAUCCUGAAGACAGGAUGACAACUUCAUCAUGAGGCAUCAAGGCAGAGAAAUGAAGAUGUCAAUGUAAUGGAUCGGCUUCUUCGAGAAGAGCAACCAAGACCGAAAAGACUCAAUAGAAUUUCGUAGCCAGAACUUUCCCCCUUACUUCACCUCCUAAAUCUCGGGACGAGAUUUCUUGUAGUAGAGGAGAAUUGUGAUGCCCGGAUAAUUAAGCUAUAGUAAUCCCACGCUAAUGGUGCCACGUCACCUCAAUUACUGUUAUUAAUCGCGCGUUAGUUCAAAACCGAUACAAAUUCCAAUUUAAAAAUGGCAACCAACAAGAGUUCUCAAAUAUUAAAACUAAAAUGUCCAGGUUGUGCCAAAUAAUGAAUAGGUAAUUAUGGUGGAAGAACCAAACUUUUAUAAAAUGUUUAAAUGUUCUAAAAUGCAUAAAACAUGGCAAGAACAAAUAUUUAAUUGCUUUUAAAAUAAUAAUCAAUUACAAACUAAUUAGUUUUAGGUGCAAAGUUAAUUGAAGAAGUAGCAUAUUUAUUAAUACUAAUUUAGGUACAACUAAUGUAUUUUAUAAAACUAAUGUAUUUAAAAUAUAAAAUUAAAACAGAAAAGAAUA